rnacentral:rRNA from 1 species
UCUUAGCUUGCUAAGGCCGAUGGCGACCGGCGCACGGGUGAGUAACACGUAUCCAACCUGCCGUCUACUCUUGGACAGCCUUCUGAAAGGAAGAUUAAUACAAGAUGGCAUCAUGAGUCCGCAUGUUCACAUGAUUAAAGGUAUUCCGGUAGACGAUGGGGAUGCGUUCCAUUAGAUAGUAGGCGGGGUAACGGCCCACCUAGUCUUCGAUGGAUAGGGGUUCUGAGAGGAAGGUCCCCCACAUUGGAACUGAGACACGGUCCAAACUCCUACGGGAGGCAGCAGUGAGGAAUAUUGGUCAAUGGGCGAGAGCCUGAACCAGCCAAGUAGCGUGAAGGAUGACUGCCCUAUGGGUUGUAAACUUCUUUUAUAAAGGAAUAAAGUCGGGUAUGGAUACCCGUUUGCAUGUACUUUAUGAAUAAGGAUCGGCUAACUCCGUGCCAGCAGCCGCGGUAAUACGGAGGAUCCGAGCGUUAUCCGGAUUUAUUGGGUUUAAAGGGAGCGUAGAUGGAUGUUUAAGUCAGUUGUGAAAGUUUGCGGCUCAACCGUAAAAUUGCAGUUGAUACUGGAUAUCUUGAGUGCAGUUGAGGCAGGCGGAAUUCGUGGUGUAGCGGUGAAAUGCUUAGAUAUCACGAAGAACUCCGAUUGCGAAGGCAGCCUGCUAAGCUGCAACUGACAUUGAGGCUCGAAAGUGUGGGUAUCAAACAGG